GUUUGCAGUUGUUGUAUUUUAUGUGGGUCACGUAGCAGUGUCUUUUGCUGUAAUUAUGCAACCGUGUUAUGAUAAUGAAGAAACUGGGUACAUGGUUUGUUAAAAGUUAAAUGGUGGGUUGAUAUACUAUGAGGUAUGUCAAAGCGAUGAUAACAUUUAGAUAGGAAAAAUAUUUGCUUAACCUUAGUGAAUAAUUAUCUCAAAAACAUUUCCGACGGUUGUUUUGGCAUUUAAUUUUGACUACAGUAGAAUACGUUCGACUGUAUAAAUGUUUUUGCAAGUGAUAACAUAAUUUUAAUAUACUUGGAACACAACGAGAUCAUGAAUUAAACUAUCGAGUAACAGUGUCGACUGAUGUUUCUGAGCUCAAGAAUCACUCGAUUCAUACAUGUAAACUGUUUUAAUGAUGGAGUUUUAAUUAAUUUAUAAAAGUUAUCGUUUAUAGAUUUUAAAACUUAUCGUAACGUGUUUCGUCCGGUAUUCUCCGGAAAUGUAAGUUAUUCCCUUUUUAUUGUUAUUUGAUCGCAAAUAGAUUUACAAUCUAAAUAAGAUAAACGCUCCAUUAAAUGAUAUCUUGAGUGAAGUUACGCCUAGGAACGCUUAUAGUACGUGUCUGACUAUGCUCGUCUGGAAUUGCUUAUGCUUACUCAGACCGAAGAACAUUCUGACUUUGUAAAUUUAAUAGCGAAACUUUUCAGAAAUUCGAUAUUCUCUAAACUUUAAUUAUUUAUAUUUAUACUAUAAUGAAUUACACAAGUAACCGUUAUAGAAGAUACUUUGACGACAUACAAAUUUCUCGAUCUACAUCCGAUUAAGCUUAAGUUGCACGUUAAAUCAAUGGAAUAUUCCACAGAGUCCGAGGAGUCCUUAUUACUCUAACUAACAAUGAUAAUGAGAAACGUACCAAAUGAGAUAUAAUCUUAAAUAAUUAGGGAAAAAAUCUUGUUCAUCUAACAAACUGGAUAUGAUAAUUCCAUCGCAACUCAAAACGUAUGAAUCAUCUAAGAUUUUAUUGGCAAUAAUUUUUAACCAGUACUAUCUGGCGAAUGGCACCAGAGCUGGAAACAUUAUCUAGAGCUGCAAACAAAGUUGUGAAGAUAAAGAAUUGAUUUCACGCUUCUCAAUUGACCCGUGCCAUUUAAUUGAGACAAAAGAUGCCGAGUGUUUCUUGGGCGACGAGAAAAGAAAUACGGAAAAAAGGAAGGGAAAAUAUGAACUGAUAAAGAAAGAAAUGUACAUAUCUAGAACGACGUAAGAUCGGGAAAUGCUUCGUUCAGUUGUUCAGCAUCGUGGACGCGUCUCCCAGCCUCGUUCCAAGCAGCGCAACGGUACAAUUAACGUUCUCAAGACGAGACGAAUGUUUCGUGUCUCGUUCUAUUUGUAAAAUCUCACCGGUGUUCUUUAUACACUCCCAGGUGUACGAUGAGUCAUCCAAUUCUGUAACUUAAUACAAUGAAUUUUUUAACUCAUUAAUGUCGCAAAAGAUUGUUUAGGUAUUAUUAGAAACACGUAAUGAACGUGAUGUCGCGUGUGUCAUUAAAAUUCGCGUCUUUAAGAGGCAAACAAGGCCAUAAUUGUCGCCGUUUUUACCAUACUACUGUUAUACUGUAGUACUGUUAAAACUUCUUCCACAGAUUAAGAAAGUUCAAUGUACUACCUAAGUGGUAAUAUUAACGCCGGCUUCUUGAAAAAUUAUAAUUUAAAUGGGUACAGCGAACGAUAUUCAUCAGCAUGUUACCUCCUAUGAAAAUAUCGUUUCCGGUGUUUCAAAUAAAGUACGACGUUUUUGGGCAAUAUGAAUUCAGCAUUUACACGCACAUUGUAAAAUCUGACUAUCUUAUUGCGAACGUUGAAACGGUUUUUUCGAAACGAAAAUUUGUUUUUAAUUAAUUAUCAAUAUCGAUUAAAUGCGUGUAGUAACGAGAAUUUUGGAGGUGGUUUUUGCUAGUAAAAAGAUGAUGAAGAAAUAUAUAAAGUUAGUUUCUAUAAUAUUAAGAAUUCAGUUGUCUCACCUUGUAUGUAGGCAUGACUCAUUUUGUCCCGUCGGUACAACGCCUUAUGCUAUUGUUCUUCUGCCCAAUUAAAGCAUUUUCCCCUCGACUGAUAUCUUUUACCUCCUUUUUUCACUUGGUUUAAUAAUGGCUCUCCUCGACGACCACUCCUUUAGAUAGUGCUGUAAAACGGGACUUUCUCUUUGGAACCGUCUUCGAUGAAAUUGUUUAUUAAACCCUUUCAAGUUUCUACGUAUCACUUAAUAUGGGUUAAACACCCAUUUUCAUUCGAAAACUAUUUUUAUAAAACACCUCAUCAAUGUAAUCUCUUUUUAAAAAGAAAAUUAUGUACGCCAUGAGAUAUAAUCUACUACACGCAUUGGAGACGAUAUCUUAGGUCUCAUUUUUUUUAUUAUUCCACACAGAAUAUUCAGAUAUCUCUUUCGUAGAUGUAUAAAGAAUAUUUUAUAACUUGAUUUUAAAUGUUUAAGGACGAAGCUAAGUAUUAGUAAAUACAUAAGUAAUUCUAUAUAAAGUAUAUAUCUGUUUACCUGUACUAUGACAUAAAUUUUAUUACAAGAUUUCGUGAGACAUAAAUUUCUAGAAAAUUACCGCCGACGAAACGUUAUCAAUAGUUUAACAUAGAAUCGAUGAAACAAGAAGGGUAUCCAGAUGAGAACCGUCUGAUAUCCCCAGAUUAUUAGUUUAUCAUUAAUUAAUAUAUAUUUGAAACCCAUCCUUUGUGUUUUAUUCCGUGCGUAAAAAUUAUUAACUCUCUUCAAUAGUGAACAAAGUCUUCCAAUAAUUCGAGAUAGCGUUAUAAAGCCAGAUUCCAUUGUUAUGCAAAAAUCCCAUAUAUCAUGUUGUUCAAAUAAACUAAAACUUUUAUUUAUCUCAUCGCACUUCCGCAACCUUCGACGAGGGAUAUUUGCACGUGGUACUGUUACAUAUUGUAUAAGAGAGGUAUCUUGCACUUGAAAUCAAGGGGAUAGGUUUAGGAGCGAUUCAAUGUAAAUUCAGCGAAGGAACACUGACGAAGUUGAAUCAAUGUAUGCAAAUCGAUGCAGCGGGUAAUUUAAGCUGAUUGGUGCAUUGUUACUGUUAUUACAAGACGAUUCGUUGUUUCUGUUUGGAGUAAAAAUCGCAAAGGAGAAGUAUGUAGAUGGCGAGAGAGACAGAGAGAAAGAGAGAGAGAGAGAAAGAGAGAGAGAGAGAGAGAGAAAGAUGAAGUGGAAGGCUGUAUUUUACGUAUCGGCACGUUUAUUUGAAAAUAAUGCAAUACAAGCUCUCGAUGAAAACUUCAACAGAACUAGAAAAUAUUUGUCUUAAACACAAUUUCAAUAGUUUAAUGCAAUAGAAAAUAAAAAUAAACUUGAAUCCUUAGGCUUCAAAGGAUUAGAAAAUGGAAAUGGGGAAGCUGUAAAAUCGUUUCAAGCAUCCUUCUAUUCAUUUUGUCGUAAUAAUUUUCUUCAGCCGAACAGUAAAAAAUUUAAGAAGUUAAACAUGUGACACCUUACGAAACAGCCUGUUAAUUUCCAGAACCUCAACUUUUCGAUAGCAAGAUGUGUAAUUACAAGAUAAGAGGUAUUUAAAGGAGGUCAGGCUUUGACGAAAACAUUAAGUUCAAGACUGGAGACGUAGCCUGGAAGCGUUACCUGUGAGACGUCACGUAUAUAUAUGCGUCGCAGAUAAACUGUCGUCUCAAUGUUUUAUCUGCAUUAUUCCCAAUAAGAUAAGAUAUAUUUCUCUCUCUCUCUCCCUCUCUCUCUCUCUCUCUCUCUGCAAGAGUCUGCGAAAUGCUCUAUGGAAUCAUUCUUGUAGAAAAUCCUUGCCACCCAAGGAAGUCGUUUAUCGUGAGAUGAAAUCGUUCAUUAAACUUAUGUAGAUAGAGCAAAAUCCGAUGCAUAACAAGUUUAUACCGUCGCAAUAUUUUCUAUGUUUGAAUUAAUUUAAAUAAUCUCAGAAAUAGUAAAUUUAUUUAAUAUAUUUAAUAUAACGAUGCUUGUUUGAUAAAAGAUGGAAAAUAAACAAACAGCGAUUUAUUUCGUUGUUGAUCGUAAUUUGCAUACCUACCUCAGUUAAGGAAAUAACUUUGUUUGCCUCCUGACAAAUAAAGAAUCACUGGAUGCUAUAUUUAAAGUAGUAAAUUACGCGGUAAAACUUCUUGUUAUCUAAACGAAAUGCUCGUCGAAAUUGCGUCUAACUUGUUUCCCGCAAAAUUAUACCUUGUACUGUUUGGUACAGUAACACUAUUGCUAAUGGAAGAGAAUCGAUGCUAAGUAACAAGAUUGACAUUCGCAAGUAUUCUUAGACGAUGAAUUUUUGGACGAUGAAAUCAUUGGGAUAGACAUUCUAGAUAUUGUACUGUGGUAAAAAAGGUAACAGUCAAUUGGUAAAAAAUAUCGAAUGUAGGGCUUCCUAUAGACCGAGAUAAAAGGUAAAUCGCCUGAAUCUUACAUAUCUUGUAAUUAAUAAGUAAAUUCAAAAAUAAUAAUAAAUCAAAUGAAAAAUAGCCUGAAUCUUACAUAUUUUAUGAUCAAUCAUGAUCCUCCGCUUUUUACCAAUUAUGUUUGAACCUAAAAAUUCAGAUAAAGUUUACCCUACUACUAUUCUUGAAUUCUCAUUUUCCAACAUUUCUCUCGUUCCUGUAGGUAAAGAGACUUUUAACAUUUAAAAGAUAUAUUUAAUAUAAAGUUGAAAUGGAGAAUAACAUAUAUUAGUAAUUCAUUCGUAUCCCUCUUGAGCGAAACAAUUUUUUGGACAAAAAAAUGAUGUGACUAUAUAUGAAAUGAGCCAAAGGACAUAACAGGGUUAAAAUUAAAUAUGGGUAAUUCUGCAUUCCAAGUAACAUAAUUCACGAUAAAAAGAGAAUCACGUUCUAAGAUAAUGUCCUUCUUGUGUCAUAUCACACAACAAUUGACGUCAUUUAAUUCGUUUAUUAAUCGAUCACAAACCGUUGAACUUGCUGAAAUUCUACUACGGAUCUACGACACACUCGCAGAUAAGGAGAAUGAUAUGUUCGGACUCGGAGAAAAGAAAAAGAAAUAAAACGAAGGCUUCAUGGCCGGAGGUUAGUCAGCGGAUCCCGUUCCUCAGCCGUUCUUCCUUUCUCUUCGUCUCUCUCAUUUCGCGAAGGUCAUCUGGUUUUAAAUAGGGAAUCGUUGAUCCAUACAGGCGUCAUUUUAAAUAUCAGAAGGCUGUGAUACUUCCUGUAAUUUACUACUAGAAUUGCACAGCCUAUACGCUAUAUAUAUAUAUAUUGUCAAUAAUUUGACAGAUUUUCUAAAAACAGUUGUUCAAGUGAUCGCCGUUUUAUUCGUCGUUUCCCGGUGUUACCGGCAUUCAGCGAACGUCAGUUUCCCAACGACUUCGCGAAUUCGCGUAAAGUUUACGAUCUUGCAUCAUAGACUCCGUUCAAAUCGAAUAUAUUUAACAUGAAAUAUCUGGUUUUGGAAUUAAUUUUGUAUUUUUAUGAUAGUCUGUCGAUGCGAUUUAACAUUUAACUCUUAUCCUCUCUCCAUUUUCUUCAUGUAAUAUUUUUUCAAUUUAUUCUUUGGUAUCAAGGUAUAAUGACGGAAAGCAGCUAAAAAGAGUAUAAAGAAUUUUAUACAAUUAAUCUAUCGUGUAAAUAAGGAAUAAAUUUGCAUCAUUCCUUCGACAAAUAUAAUAUUUUGAAAAAUUAAACAUUUGAUGAAAAAGAGUAUACAGUGCAAAUUACGUUUGCUGUAUGUCAAUCAAUGGUCGUUUAAAGCUCUCUCGAUAAAAAUUCUAUUGAGUUGUAAGUGGUAAAGAGAGACAAUUUUCGAGGACAAUUAGCGUCGUAAUUGAUACCGCAAUCGUUAGGCGCGAAUACACUUUUAUUUGUACGAUUCUGGGUGAGCAACACGAUUAAUCAGCGAUAAUUGAUUAUUAGUAAUUAUUACUUGAUCUACAGUCUGUUAGGAUUCUGUCCCUGACCAUUGAAAUUGUGUUAAUCGUUUAGUGACUACGAAACGAUUUCGUAGGCGCCAUGAGAUUUGUUAAAACAAUUCGAACGUUGUUAUUGGCGCCGUAAGCUGGUGUUAUCUGGAUUCGACAGACCAAGUUAAAUACAUCAGACAUCGUCUAUUCAAACGACGUUUUCUGCCGCACAAACAAGCUUCGUUGAAUCUAACAAAGUCGUUGGACGUUGACGUUGUUCGGUACAAGACACGAGAUGCAAAUAUUAUGAAAACGUAGGUGGUCACCGGUAAAAUAAACGAUGGAUUAGUGACUCGAUUUCGAAACUAAACAUAAAGACCAGAAAAUAA